rnacentral:rRNA from 1 species
CUACGUAUGUCGCAAGCGUUAUCCGGAAUUAUUGGGCGUAAAGCGAGUCUAGGCGGCUUGUUAAGUCAGAUGUGAAAAUGCGGGGCUCAACUCCGUAUUGCGUUUGAAACUGGCAGGCUAGAGUACUGGAGAGGUGGGCGGAACUACAAGUGUAGAGGUGAAAUUCGUAGAUAUUUGUAGGAAUGCCGAUAGUGAAGACAGCUCACUGGACAGAUACUGACGCUAAAGCUCGAAAGCGUGGGGAGCGAACAGGAUUAGAAACCCUAGUAGUCC